CCUAUCAUUUUCUCAACCACACAGCUCUCCCACUCCCACUCGUCCAUUCCGUACCCCGCGCCGCCGGCGCUCGCAACCCCAUCGCCGCCCCGUUCCUCGUCUGGGCGCCGCCGCCGGUCCUCCCACCGCCUCGUGCCUCCCCAACCUCCCUACCACCUCUGCCUCCCUGCCCGUCGCCGCCUCCCCGCCCUCGUCGGUGCGAGGAGCCUGUCGUCCCCUACAUCUACUAGGUUGGUGGCUGGACUCAAGGGUACAAGAGACUCAUGCUUGUCUGAUGAACUGUGGUAAAUGAAACCAUUGAUAUGCAGAACAGAGGCUGCUAUUGAGGCUGUGAUAACACAUCCUGCAAGGCCUCCCCUGAAAUUAGGAAGGAAACGAUCACUGCAUGGUUAACUGUACUUCAGUGUGCCUGUAUGACAUUUAGCAUAAUGUGUUUGUAUGAUAUUUACCAUUACAGUGUGUAACUGUACCAUUACAUUUAGCAAUCAUGCCUGCAGCAGCAGCAUGAUUGCUCGAUAUUGUAUAAAGCAUGUUUGCUGGAUGCUGGAUUAUCUGCAGUGUGUAAUUGUAUGAUAUUUACCAUUACAGUUUGCAGCAGCA